GUUGUAUUUGGAUUCAAAGAUAAUAAAUUUGAUUUCAAAUAAACCACAGGAUUUUGAAGGUUCUGACAUGCACAUUUUUGUCAUUGACACAUCAGCAAAAUAUUCCACAAUUUAAUCAACAGUUAUACCAAGAAGAACAGGAAAGAUUUUAAGUUAUAAUGGUAGGAACAAAUGGCAUGGUAUUGAACAAUUUUGAUUAAAUAUCUUGACAAACCUCUAGAGAUUAGAAGUUGAUAACCAUGUAAUCAUGCUCUCAAAGAUUAUAAAAAUGGACCUCAUAAAGUUUCUUAAACAAGGUAAGACAUAAAUCAAAUAAUGAAAACAUUUUCAGAUGAAUAGAAUACCAAG
rnacentral:misc_RNA from 1 species